ACUGGUUUGGCUCAGUGGAUAGAGCAUUGGCCUGUGGACCCAAGGGUUCCAGGUUCGAUUCCGGUCAUGGGUG
rnacentral:tRNA from 1 species